AGUGAACGCUGGCGGUAGGCCCAACACAUGCAAGUCGAACGGCAGCACAGUAAGAGCUUGCUCUUACGGGUGGCGAGUGGCGGACGGGUGAGGAAUACAUCGGAAUCUACUUUUUCGUGGGGGAUAACGUAGGGAAACUUACGCUAAUACCGCAUACGACCUACGGGUGAAAGCAGGGGAUCUUCGGACCUUGCGCGAUUGGAUGAGCCGAUGUCGGAUUAGCUAGUUGGCGGGGUAAAGGCCCACCAAGGCGACGAUCCGUAGCUGGUCUGAGAGGAUGAUCAGCCACACUGGAACUGAGACACGGUCCAGACUCCUACGGGAGGCAGCAGUGGGGAAUAUUGGACAAUGGGCGCAAGCCUGAUCCAGCCAUACCGCGUGGGUGAAGAAGGCCUUCGGGUUGUAAAGCCCUUUUGUUGGGAAAGAAAAGCAGCAGGUUAAUACCCCGCUGUUCUGACGGUACCCAAAGAAUAAGCACCGGCUAACUUCGUG
rnacentral:rRNA from 1 species